rnacentral:rRNA from 1 species
CCUACGGGAGGCAGCAGUGGGGAAUAUUGGACAAUGGGCGAAAGCCUGAUCCAGCAAUGCCGCGUGAGUGAUGAAGGCCUUAGGGUUGUAAAGCUCUUUUACCAGGGAUGAUAAUGACAGUACCUGGAGAAUAAGCUCCGGCUAACUCCGUGCCAGCAGCCGCGGUAAUACGGAGGGAGCUAGCGUUGUUCGGAAUUACUGGGCGUAAAGCGUACGUAGGCGGUUAUUCAAGUCAGAGGUGAAAGCCUGGAGCUCAACUCCAGAACUGCCUUUGAAACUAGAUAGCUAGAAUCUUGGAGAGGUGAGUGGAAUUCCGAGUGUAGAGGUGAAAUUCGUAGAUAUUCGGAAGAACACCAGUGGCGAAGGCGACUCACUGGACAAGUAUUGACGCUGAGGUACGAAAGCGUGGGGAGCAAACAGGAUUAGAUACCCUGGUAGUCCACGCCGUAAACGAUGAUAACUAGCUGUUCGGGCUCUACGAGCUUGAGUGGCGCAGCUAACGCAUUAAGUUAUCCGCCUGGGGAGUACGGUCGCAAGAUUAAAACUCAAAGGAAUUGACGG